UCUCACUCAUUGAAAUUUGAAACCCAGAAACUCUUCAUCGUUUCUCCAUCGUUCACCUUCAUUCAUCGCAAUUGAACCUUCUCGUCAGAACUCGUUCUUUAGGUAUUUGGAUUUCUCUUAUUCUUCUUUGAUUUCUAAUUUUAAAUUUGCACUCUAAGAUUUUGGAUUUCUUUUGCAUUAAAAGAUGUCGGUGUUCUUUGUGUUCUGUGAUUUCUUCACUAAACUUAUGCAUUUGUUCAAGUAUCUAUAUACCACUAC
rnacentral:lncRNA from 1 species